rnacentral:rRNA from 1 species
GACGAACGCUGGCGGCGUGCUUAACACAUGCAAGUCGAACGGUGAAGCGCCUUCCUUUUUGGUGGGUGUGGAUGAGUGGCGAACGGGUGAGUAACACGUGAGUAACCUGCCCCCUUCUUCUGGAUAACCGCAUGAAAGUGUGGCUAAUACGGGAUAUUCUGGGUCUGUCGCAUGAUGGGUCUGGGAAAGAUAUUGUUUCGGUGGGGGAUGGGCUCGCGGCCUAUCAGCUUGUUGGUGGGGUGAUGGCCUACCAAGGCGGGGACGGGUAGCCGGCCUGAGAGGGUGGACGGUCCCACUGGGACUGAGACACGGCCCAGACUCCUACGGGAGGCAGCAGUGGGGAAUAUCGCACAAUGGGCGCAAGCCUGAUGCAGCGACGCCGCGUGAGGGAUGGAGGCCUUCGGGUUGUGAACCUCUUUCGCCAGUGAAGCAGGCCUGCCUCGUUUGUGGGUGGGUUGACGGUAGCUGGAUAAGAAGCGCCGGCUAACUACGUG